UACGGAAGGUUCGGGCGUUAUCCGGAUUUAUUGGGUUUAAAGGGAGCGCAGGCGGAGGAUUAAGCGUGACGUGAAAUGUCCCGGCUCAACCGUGGAACUGCGUCGCGAACUGGUUUUCUUGAGUGAGUGCGAGGCCGGCGGAAUUCGUGGUGUAGCGGUGAAAUGCUUAGAUAUCACGAGGAACCCCGAUUGCGAAGGCAGCCGGCCAGUCCUUAACUGACGCUAAAGCUCGAAAGUGCGGGUAUCGAAC
rnacentral:rRNA from 1 species